GGCAGCUGCAGGUAAACCUCGAAGAAGAAUCAGUAGCUGCUGCUGUUUCUCUACAGUAGUUGUGGCGGUAAUGUUAACAUCACAAAGUGGCAGAAACAGAGGAGGAUACAAAAUAAUGAAAAGGGAUGAUAAAUCAGCAUCAACUAACCAUGCCGAUGGAAGGGCCCAGUCCUCCCGUCAUCUCCAUCUGGUGGUGUUUCAUGAUGUAGGCCAGCAUCUCCCUCCAAUCAUAACCUUUGGGGAUGGCAAUGGUAGUGACAGAGGGAAGCCUCAAAUCCUGCAGGACACAUGACACAAAAUAACUGUGGUCACAACACGGCAACACAAGUGAAGAAAGCAACCUCAACCAAUAACUUAUUUAUUAUCCUUCUCUGUAAAGUCCUUUGUGGCAACAGAAUACUAUAAUAUAUAUUUUUUUGUAAAUCUGUCUCACUCUUUCAGGGAUGAAGAGCUUGAUGCCCAGAUCCUCCAGCCCUCUGUACAGGUAGGCUGCCACCUCCUUGUGUUUCCUCCAGGACUCCUCCAGCCCCUAGAGGGAGACAAAGAUUAAGUUCAGAGAAAACUAUCUGAAAACCUGUCAGAGGGAGCUCUUCUAUUCACAGCAUUCACUACCAGUAACUACCAGACAGUAAAAGAAGGAACACUGUGAGACUCAUACUAAUUAUAACUCUGGACUUAACAAUAUGGCAACAGAUGCUGGCUUCAUUAAAUCUGAGGAUUCAUGACAUGAAAUCUGGACAUCUGCUUUUUAGAAUUUACUUCAUUACAGCAUACAGACAUUAAUUGGUAUAAGACAAGUCAGUUUCUUAAUGACAGGAAAAAUCAUUCAUACUUAAAUCACAGUGGAUGGUUGACACACGCUGCAUAAUUUUUAUGGUCGUGAAAAGCACCAGCUUCAAAAUAACGAUUGUGUGAAGAUAAAUAGAUAGAUACUUUAUUAAUCCCAAGGGAAAUUCAAGGUAUUGACAUAAUGACACAUUUGCAAAAUUAUAUCAGAGGGAACUGAUUUUAUAAGACAAUCCUAGAAACUGUGUAUUUCUUCUGUAAGAUAACUGAAAAAGUGGAGGUAUAUCUCUUUACCCUCUCAGCAAGAAUUGCCAGACUCUCUCUCAGGGCGAAGAAUCCAGAUACUGGACCAGUGUGAUGAUAUCUACAACAAAAAGCAAUUAUGAUUAAAUUAAGUAUUAUGGAUUUAUUAUGUCAUUUGAAUAUCAAACACGUGCUAUUAUUAUACAUGCUUUUUCAACAAAAUGGCAUUCAAAAGUCCAAACUGAGGAAAACUGUUUUUGGAGUCAUUUUAAUAUUUUGUCUGCAUUCGUGUGAAGUAAAUUAAGGUUUGGAUUGAUUUGAUGAGAAUAAAAUGAGAACUGCAAAUUGUCAGCUUGUAAUCACUGGUCUGCAGUGGACUUACGCUCUGGCUGGUUUACCGUCACAACCCCAGUAGUUGGACAGAUGUGUCAUAUCGAAGAGGUAGGAUACUGGUUUUGUUUUCCUGUUAAACAUCUUGUGGCUGUGUAGGGGAGAUUGUGUGACCUUAUUACUUUUUGAUUCUCAGUUGCGGAUACAAUUGUGACAGUUUCAGGCACAUAUUUGUAAACAUUCAUGCGGAAACAUGCCUCCUUACCAUGCUCUGUCAUUAAAAGAGAUGGGUGCUGUGCCUGGAGGUGCAUUCAGUGCUUUCUGAGAACCAGUGUAAAGGAUGUCAAUAUCUGAGAACAUAGGAAGAGACCAAUUAAAUCACAUGCAGAAACUACUGAUGGUGGCAAGCAGAGGAAGUUAAUCUCUUAUCAUUGCCUUACUUUGCUUGUCCAUAAAAAUUGGUGCAGCUCCAAGUGAAGCGACUGUGUCGACCAGGAAGAGGCAGUCAUGUCUGCACAGGAUAUAAAAGUGGGAAAUAUGAGAUUACAUGUAUUAGUAUUCUGAUACUCUCUUUAAGAUGUUCUAGGAGGCUCACUUUCUGCAGAUGUCUCCAAUGCCGUCUAUUGGGUGACAGAGACCAGCAGAUGACUCUCCAUGUGUGAGGAAGAACAAGACCGGCUUGUGUUUUUGCAUGGCCUAAAGAGGGAUAUAAAAGGAGUUUAAUCACACGUGUUCCUGUUGUUGGAACUCUAUCUGAGACAGCGUAUUGGCUGCUUCAGAGUCUUGGUCCCUACCUGCUCAAUUUCCUUAUUGGUGAAAUAUCCUCCAGGUGUUUUUACCAUUCUGUGAACGUUGGCACCUGCAGAUUAAUAAAAACAUUUAUGAUUAGCUACUGUUGUACAUUAACAUAUACUUGAAUAAACUAAUAGAUAAUUUAUCAGAAUGUAAAGUCAGUUUUUAUUGCAAUGUUUUAUCCUCUUUGGAUACAAAGCAAGGGCGUGCGUAAAACCGUGCGUAAAAACUUACCCAUUCUCUCUGCAAUUUCUGCAACACGCUCUCCCCAGAUGCCGUUAAUGGCCACGAGCACGCUCUCUCCGGGCUCCACCGUGUUGAACACCGCACACUCCAUAGCCGCGUGCCCGGAGCCGCUCAUAGAUAUCGUCAUGUUGUUCUCUGUCUGAAAGGCGUACUGGAUCCCCUUCUUGAUGUCAUUCAUAAUCUAUGACACACAAUUAAAAUGUGAAACAGAUUUUUAGUUUAAUUUGCCAGACAUGGUUACGAGUAACGCUCAGUGGCUUCAGUGUGAGUUAACCUUCGCCUGUGCGUAAUUACGCACACAUGGUAACUGUCUAUUUGUUCUGUUUACUCCCGCCAGUGAUGGUUUUCAUUACCAUUUGUUGGUUGGUCUGUCAGCAGGAUUAUGCAAAACCAACUUUUUAGUAUAAAAGAACAUUUUUUUGUGUGUGAAUUGGGUUUGGAUUUUCAAAUCCUAUAGAAGAAUAGACUAGUCUUGAUGGGUGUCUGCGCUGUCUGAGAGCUCUUCUAGUUAUGAUUAAGUCUAAAAAAAUAACUCUUGAAUUGUUAGCGUAAAUAAUUUACAAACAAACUGAGUGGUAAUUUAAUCUAUUAAAAUCGUGCUUAGUGGCUGGAAAUUAUUCCGACAACUUUGCACAAGCAACGUUAAGAUGCAGUACGUCUCUUUUGAAACUAAUACAUUUGUUUUUAACAUCUUACGUCAGAAUAUCCCCAAGACACAGAGUGCACCUGCAUCUCCAAAGGUCAGUUGCCCAACUUGUGUAAAAUGUGCCACUUGCUAUCAAGUAACUGUAAUAUAACUCAGUCUAUUUUACUGAGUUUCCAACUAUGUAUUUACCUCAUACAUUUCUGGGUGCAGGUGACCAAUAAUCGGCCUGCCGCCUGCAGCUAAGACACGUGGAGGAACGUUGGAGGGUCCCGGUCCAAACAGGUAACGGAGAGGCGCUUCCAGCGGCCGCAGCAUGCAUGCUGGCGGCGGGAUGGUGACGGAGGACAUGGAGCGCUCCAGGCGCUGCAGCAGCGGCGCGCUCCUGGCGGCCAGAGGACUGUCGAGGGCCGCUGCUGCCUGCUGGGCGAGCAGCGCGCUGCGGCUGAACAAGGCCCGCUGCAUCACGGCUGGUGUCCUGUUCCUGAGAAGCUGCUCCGAGCGAGUUCACCUCCGACAGAGAGAGACUGAGCCUGACUUUUAAGCCACCAGGACUCAUUCCAGUGACUGAAUUCUGAAGAUCUGCAGCAUUUGACUGUUGAACUGUAUGGAAAAGUGAGGACCUGAACUUGCCAGCUUGGAACCAGUUGAGAGUACUGCACUUCUAUACGGUUACGUCAGGACUCAGGAGGACGUGCUGCUCUUUGAGAUUGGCUGGGUAAAUAAUUACACCACUGGUAAAUAAGUGGGACUUGCUUUCCCCCUCACACUGGCCUUUGCCCUGCACUUAGUGCUCAGAAUCU